UGCUCUCUGAUUGUUAUUUUAAGGGCCGCGGUAAUUUGACCGUGCAAAGGUAGCGUAAUAGUUAGUUUUUUAAUUGGAAUCUUGUAUGAAUGGUUGGACAAGAGAAAUACUGUCUCUAUAAUUUUUAUUGAAUUUAACUUUUAAGUGAAAAGGCUUAAAUUAUUUAAAAAGACGAUAAGACCCUAUAAAGCUUUAUAAAUAAAAUUUAUCAAAUUGAAUUAUUAAUAAUAUUUUAAUAAAUUAUAUUAUUUUGUUGGGGAGAUAAUAUUAUAAUUUUGAGUAACUGUAAAUAAUUAAUACAAUCAUAUAUGUGUAUAAAAGGUAAAAGAUCCUAUUAUAUAGAUUAAAAGUUUAAGUUACUUUAGGGAUAACAGCGUUAUUUUUUUUGAGAGUUCAUAUCGAAAAAAAAGAUUGCGACCUCGAUGUUGAAUUAAAAUUUCUAUAUAAUUGCAGAAGUUAUUUUAGAAGGUCUGUUCGACCUUUAAAUUUUUA
rnacentral:rRNA from 1 species